rnacentral:lncRNA from 1 species
GUGAGCUCAUCGCUAGCUGGGCUUAGGGGUUAAAUAAAAAGGAGAGGAAGUCAAAAUCCCAACUGGAGGUGUGAUGCCUGCCUGUGGAGGGCUGGUCCAGGGCUGAGGGGGAGUUGAGGAAGAGGGACAGAGGGAGUGAGAGGGUUAAGUUACACAGGAUGAAGAGAAGGAAAUGCUGAGGUGUUGAUCUCACUGAAAAGUUGCUUGAGCUGCUGAGCAGUGGCCCCGGUCUCCUGCUCUCUCUCUGAAAGUUUACAAGUCGACUGUGCAGUACAACUAAGGGGGAGCGCCACGGAGGACUGCGAGACUGCAUGAAUUUAGAGUCCCUGACAGCAGCCCUAGAGAAGGCCUCUGGAUCCAAAUGUCAAUUCCAACGGAGGCAGCAUCAGUCUGGGCCCAGCCGUGUGUGACGUGAGAGAGUGAAACAACGAGAGAGUGAAAGACAGAGAGAGAGGAAGAGAAGGAGGAGGAGGGGUCUCUCCGAUGAUAACCCUGAGUGUACCAUACAUGGCUCUCUAGUAGCCACCAUUUUAAAUUGGCCCUUACAGUGCACUGCGGCGGCUGACCUAGAGUGAAAAUGUGAUGAGCUUUGCUAUCAUCCCCG